rnacentral:rRNA from 1 species
UACGUAGGGGGCAAGCGUUGUCCGGAAUCAUUGGGCGUAAAGAGCGUGUAGGCGGCCCGGUAAGUCCGCUGUGAAAGUCGAGGGCUCAACCCUCGAAUGCCGGCGGAUACUGUCGGGCCUAGACGUCGGAAGAGGCGAGUGGAAUUCCUGGUGUAGCGGUGAAAUGCGCAGAUAUCAGGAGGAACACCGAUGGCGAAGGCAGCUCGCUGGGACGGUACUGACGCUGAGGCGCGAAAGCGUGGGGAGCAAACAGG